rnacentral:rRNA from 1 species
UACAGAGGGUGCAAGCGUUACUCGGAAUGACUGGGCGUAAAGGGCGAGUAGGCGGUUGUGUAAGUUAGAGGUGAAAGCCUGGGGCUCAACCCCAGAAUUGCCUUUAAGACUGCAUCGCUUGAAUCCAGGAGAGGUGAGUGGAAUUCCGAGUGUAGAGGUGAAAUUCGUAGAUAUUCGGAAGAACACCAGUGGCGAAGGCGGCUCACUGGACUGGUAUUGACGCUGAGGUGCGAAAGCGUGGGGAGCAAACAGG